AAUGAAACAAGGUGAAACUUUGCUUUGAAUUUUCUUUUUGAAAAUGUCUUAUAAACUCACAGUAUCAUGUAAGUAAUCACAUUCGUCCGUUUUCAUUUUAAUUACAAGAGCUUUCUGUCUUUAAAAAAAUAAAUCUUUAAAAGAAUUUAAAUUUGAUGUUGCUUAUACUUCUUCUCUUCCAUUGCUCAGAAAUGAUUCAUACUGCAUGUUGUUUGAACUAUAAUCAAUCAUUUAUUACACUCACAACUGUACUUAUUUUCUCAAGCAUUUCAUCUUUAAAGAAAUAAUACACUAUGCAUUAUGUUCUCAUGUUCAUCACCUCCCCAGAACCAGGAACCAUCCACUCAUGUUCAACUUAAUAUGAAAAUGUGCACUUCUCAGGUCUAAUAUUAACCGAGUGGAGAAGUGAAACCUUGCAGCGUCAUGAGAAGCCAUGUGAACUCUCUGUGAAAACAUGUAAAGUGAUAUGAGACAUUCAAAUGUGUGCUCUGCUUCUCUAACUGACUCCUCACACCUGGUGUCAGUGAUGCACUGUUGCUCUUUGCACUGUUUCACUUCUGUAUUUUGGUCCUUUUUUGGGACCCGGGUGUUACUCAAUGCUUCCGCUUGCUGCUGGCUCUGAUCCCUCUGCCCUGCCAUGCUGCAUCUGUGCAACAGCCCUGUGUCCACCUGACUAUGAGACACCACACCCUGUACAAGUAGCACUCUGCCAUCUAGCCUACAUACAGAGAUACCAUGUUUAGAAUUAAGACAACACAGGUUACCUGACCAAGACCUUAAGGACAGCGGGUUGUCUCUCCAAACGUCACGUUACACCCAGUUUGGCAGGGUGAAUUCGGGAAGUCACCAAUCAGACUCAUCUGCAACAUUCAAGGCUUCUUUCCAGACCAACUGAGUGUGGAGUGGAAGCAGGAAAACAAAGCUCUAAACGUUGUUCAAACCCAAACCAAGCUUCAGAGUGUGGAGGGAGAGGAGAAAACCUUCAGUCUGAGCAGUGAGAUUGAGCCAGAUAUGACUGAGUGGGCACAGGGCUCAAGUUUUACGUGCACAUCUGUUCACAUCAAUCAGAGGUUCAUGAAGACCACAAGUAUUUGUCAAUAUCAAGCAGCAGCCCCUCCUUCCAUCGACGUGGAGAUUCCCAGCUUCAAGAAAGUCAUGACGGAAGAAUCUCCCCUAAAAGCAAUAUGUUUUGUCCACACUGCUCUUAAGGCCAAGGUGACGUGGCUGCUGAAUGAGGGAGACCCAGCGGGUGGCACCGUGACACAGGACACCAACGCAACUCAUUCAGUCAGUGAACUGACGCUUCCUUCAAGUCGAUGGAAACAACUCAAGUCGAUAACAUGUCAAGCUGACCACAAGUGCUUCUCCUCUACUAAGAAGACUGUGCAAAUUGCAGAGCCUGCAGUUACAGAUCCAUUGAUUGAGAUCAGGAGAUCUCUGAAAGAUCUGCUGAAAGGAGACAGCGCUGUGCUGGAGUGUGAUGUCACGACACUCUGGUCACGUGACCUGUACAUCACCUUUCAAGGCAACGGUGUUGACAUCUCCGACAAACAGUAUGUUGAACUUCCUGCAGCCUCGGGCCUCCUUUCAGUCAGUAGAAGAUUCUCUGUCCCAUUAAGUGAGUUGAAGAAAGACGCAAGUUUCACCUGCAAAGUGAAUCAAGGAUUCUCCAACAGCUUUGAGUCAAACUCCACAGGCAGUUUCUUUGUAGAGCCAUCGAUGGCACUUCUUCUGGCCCCCGGUGAAGACUCAGGACCACAGAGACUCCUGUGCUUUGCUUGGGGCUUCAACCCUCAAGUGAAGUGGUCUUCAGAGUCCGAGCACAGACCUCCAUCAACUAAUGACGUCAGCAUGGGUGAAGAUGGACGCGUGGCGGUGACCAGUCAUCUCCACGUCCCUCAAACAGAGUGGAGAACAGGGAAGGUCUUCACGUGUGAAGUAUCUGACAAGUCUCUGAACGCAAGUGUGAGGAAGCACAUCAGCCUCUGCUCAGUAACUCCUGCAUCAUCUCAGAUAGUCGGCGUCUACGUUCAGGGACCAGCAGCAGAAGAGCUUCUGAACAAGGAACAGGUGACUAUCACCUGUCUUCUGGUCGGUCCUUCUCUCAAUGAUUUCUCCGUGACCUGGAAAGUAGGUGAGAACAAUCAUUCCCACGAUGGCCAUGAGGAUUCUCCAGUGAGUCACAGCAACGGUACAGAAACUGUGCAGAGCUUCUUCAAUGUGUCAGCGGCGGAUUGGAAUGGAUUCAAACAAGUGUCUUGUGAGGCAAAGCACCGAUGCUCCAAACUGGGCCACGAGGAUCAAAUAACCAAAAGCAGAGAGCUGCAUCCACCAACAGUGAAGAUAACACCACCCACUGUGGAUGACCUUUCUACCUCCGACCCCCUUGCAAUUAUUUGCCAAGUCUCUGGAUUCUUCCCGUCUGGUAUCCGAGUGUACUGGGAGGAGGAGGGCCAGAGACUGCCUCCGACUCACUUCACCAACAGUCCAACAUGGAAAUACACCGGGAGCAGCACGUAUUCCAUGAUCAGCAGACUGAACGUCUCAAAAACCAACAACAAGGAGUCUACGUAUUCUUGUGUUGUCAGACACGAGUCAUCGGAAACGCCUUUUGAAAGCACUAUAAAGGACGUCUUUGCCACAGUGACCCACAGCAAACCCUCAGCGACCUUGCUCCAGGGCUCCGGUGAGCUUGUGUGUCUGGUCUUUGGCUUCAGCCCUGCAACCAUUAACAUCACUUGGUUUCUUGAUGACACCAAGGGACUGUUGGACUACACCACUAGUGAACCCCACAGAGGCCCAGAUGGAACGUUCAACAUUCAAAGCCACCUAAAUGUGUCCCGAGUCAUAUGGUUACCUGGCGCCAACAUCACCUGCAGGGUGACACAUGCAAACAUCACCCUGUCCCUGGAUGUCUCUAAACCAGACUCCUUGAAGGACUGUCAUUUCUUCGAUGACAUCAUGCAUGCUGAAGUGAACCAGGACACAGGUGUGGAAAGCUGGUAUUUUGGGUUCACUUUCCUGGUUCUUUUCCUCACCUCCUUUAUCUACGGUGUCUCUGCCACCAUGAUUAAGGUAAGAAACAACAGUACUGCAAUGUUAUUCUAAAGUCAUC